GUGAAUCAUCGAAUUUUUGAACGCAAAUUGCACUCUCUGGUAUUCCGGAGAGUAUGCCUGUUUGAGGGUAAUUAAAAAGAAUAUCUAACCAAUUUUUUCUGUUCAAAGGAAAUGAGCUCUACGCGUUUAUCGUGGUAGCUUGUAAUAAAUGGAAAAGUUUCGUUUUAGUUGAGACGUGUAUAAAUAUUAUUCUGAGAAAUCAUAUUUAUG
rnacentral:misc_RNA from 1 species